AGAGUUUGAUCCUGGCUCAGGAUGAACGCUGGCGGCGUGCCUAAUACAUGCAAGUCGAACGCGAGCAGCAAUGCUCGAGUGGCGAACGGGUGAGUAAUACAUAAGUAACCUGCCCUAGACAGGGGGAUAACUGCUGGAAACGGCAGCUAAGACCGCAUAGGUAUGGACACUGCAUGGUGACCAUAUUAAAAGUGCCAAGGCACUGGUAGAGGAUGGACUUAUGGCGCAUUAGCUGGUUGGUGAGGUAACGGCUCACCAAGGCGACGAUGCGUAGCCGACCUGAGAGGGUGACCGGCCACACUGGGACUGAGACACGGCCCAGACUCCUACGGGAGGCAGCAGUAGGGAAUUUUCGGCAAUGGGGGGAACCCUGACCGAGCAACGCCGCGUGAAGGAAGAAGGAAUUCGUUCUGUAAACUUCUGUUAUAAAGGAAGAACGGCGGAUAUAGGGAAUGAUAUCCGAGUGACGGUACUUUAUGAGAAAGCCACGGCUAACUACGUGCCAGCAGCCGCGGUAAUACGUAGGUGGCGAGCGUUAUCCGGAAUUAUUGGGCGUAAAGAGGGAGCAGGCGGCGGCAGAGGUCUGUGGUGAAAGACUGAAGCUUAACUUCAGUAAGUCAUAGAAACCGGGCUGCUAGAGUGCAGGAGAGGAUCGUGGAAUUCCAUGUGUAGCGGUGAAAUGCGUAGAUAUAUGGAGGAACACCAGUGGCGAAGGCGACGGUCUGGCCUGUAACUGACGCUCAUUCCCGAAAGCGUGGGGAGCAAAUAGGAUUAGAUACCCUAGUAGUCCACGCCGUAAACGAUGAGUACUAAGUGUUGGG
rnacentral:rRNA from 1 species